UAGUGGCGGACGGGUGAGUAACGCGUGGGUAACCUGCCUUAUACAGGGGGAUAACAGUCAGAAAUGGCUGCUAAUACCGCAUAAGCGCACAGAGCUGCAUGGCUCAGUGUGAAAAACUCCGGUGGUAUAAGAUGGACCCGCGUUGGAUUAGCUUGUUGGCGGGGUAACGGCCCACCAAGGCGACGAUCCAUAGCCGGCCUGAGAGGGUGAACGGCCACAUUGGGACUGAGACACGGCCCAGACUCCUACGGGAGGCAGCAGUGGGGAAUAUUGCACAAUGGGGGAAACCCUGAUGCAGCGACGCCGCGUGGAGGAAGAAGGUCUUCGGAUUGUAAACUCCUGUUGUUGGGGAAGAUAAUGACGGUACCCAACAAGGAAGUGACGGCUAACUACGUGCCAGCAGCCGCGGUAAAACGUAGGUCACAAGCGUUGUCCGGAAUUACUGGGUGUAAAGGGAGCGCAGGCGGGAAGACAAGUUGGAAGUGAAAUCUAUGGGCUCAACCCAUAAACUGCUUUCAAAACUGUUUUUCUUGAGUAGUGCAGAGGUAGGCGGAAUUCCCGGUGUAGCGGUGGAAUGCGUAGAUAUCGGGAGGAACACCAGUGGCGAAGGCGGCCUACUGGGCACCAACUGACGCUGAGGCUCGAAAGCGUGGGUAGCAAACAGGAUUAGAUACCCUGGUAGUCCACACCGUAAACGAUGAUUACUAGGUGUUGGAGGAUUGACCCCUUCAGUGCCGCAGUUAACACAAUAAGUAAUCCACCUGGGGAGUACGACCGCAAGGUUGAAACUCAAAGGAAUUGACGGGGGCCCGCACAAGCAGUGGAGUAUGUGGUUUAAUUCGAAGCAACGCGAAGAACCUUACCAAAUCUUGACAUCCCUCUGGCCGGUCUUUAAUCGGACCUUCUCUUCGGAGCAGAGGUGACAGGUGGUGCAUGGUUGUCGUCAGCUCGUGUCGUGAGAUGUUGGGUUAAGUCCCGCAACGAGCGCAACCCCUAUCCUCAGUAGCCAGCAAGUUAAGUUGGGCACUCUGGGGAGACUGCCAGGGAUAACCUGGAGGAAGGCGGGGAUGACGUCAAAUCAUCAUGCCCCUUAUGACCAGGGCUACACACGUGCUACAAUGGCGUAAACAAAGGGAGGCAGAGCCGCGAGGCCGAGCAAAUCUCAAAAAUAACGUCUCAGUUCGGAUUGUAGUCUGCAACUCGACUACAUGAAGCUGGAAUCGCUAGUAAUCGCAGAUCAGAAUGCUGCGGUGAAUACGUUCCCGGGCCUUGUACACACCGCCCGUCA
rnacentral:rRNA from 1 species